CACAGUAGAACGUGCCUUUGAUGAGCUUUGCGCUUUGAUUUUUGAUCUUUGAUCAGCAGAGAGGAUAUAAGACUACCUUCCCCAGCACGCUUAUAUCAGACACACUGGAGCAGCAGCUGGAAACUCUUUGACGAUGCACCGAGAGGAAUCUGCCGGAUCUACUGUAAAGCAGAGAGGAUAUAAGACUACCUUCCCCAGCACGCUUAUAUCAGACACACUGGAGCAGCAGCUGGAAACUGAAGAUUGGCCGAGAGGAGCAUUUGAAUCUGGAUCUACUGUAAGGGGAGAAGUAGGAUCAGGAGUGUCAGGCUGUCCAGACCAGAGGAGCGUUUCUGCUGAAGGAAAUCCAGUUGUUCUUUUGCUGCCUGAGGACCUAUUGAGCUAAGUGCAUCCUACCCUUAUCCUACUCUAUUUUCCUCUCUUUCCUUCACUCUUACAACCAUACCAUUCCUUUUACGUUAUAUGUUUUACGCAAAAUAAUAAUAUGCCCCCUCCCCCCAAACUUAAAUACAUAAAAUAACAAAACUAAAAGCAAAAAAAACUUAAAAACAUAAAAUAACAAAA